rnacentral:tRNA from 1 species
GCCUACGUAGCUUAAACCCACCCAAAGCAAGACACUGAAAAUGCCUAGAUGGACUCACACCCCGUAGACA